rnacentral:rRNA from 1 species
UAGUAACGGCGAGUGAAGCGGGAACAGCUCAAAUUUGAAAUCUGGCCCUUGGGUCCGAGUUGUAAUUUGCAGAGGAUGCUUUUGGUGCGGUGCCUUCCGAGUUCCCUGGAACGGGACGCCUUAGAGGGUGAGAGCCCCGUACGGUUGGCCACCAAGCCUGUGUAAAGCUCCUUCGACGAGUCGAGUAGUUUGGGAAUGCUGCUCAAAAUGGGAGGUAUAUUUCUUCUAAAGCUAAAUACUGGCCAGAGACCGAUAGCGCACAAGUAGAGUGAUCGAAAGAUGAAAAGCACUUUGAAAAGAGGGUUAAAUAGCACGUGAAAUUGUUGAAAGGGAAGGAUUUAUGACCAGACUUUUUCUAGGGGGAUCAUCCGGUGUUCUCACCGGUGCACUUCCCCUAGUUGAGGCCAGCAUCGGUUUCUGUCGGGGGAUAAAAGCUUCAGGAAUGUGGCUCCCUCCGGGGAGUGUUAUAGCCUGUUGCAUAAUACCCUGACGGGGACCGAGGUUCGCGCAUUGCAAGGAUGCUGGCGUAAUGGUUAUUAAUCACCCGUCUUGAAACACGGACCAAGGAGUCGAACAUUUGUGCGAGUGUUUGGGUGUUAAACCCUCACGCGUAAUGAAAGUGAACGGAGGUGAGAGCCCUUCGGGGUGCAUCAUCGACCGAUCCUGAUGUCUUCGGAUGGAUUUGAGUAAGAGCAUAACUGUUCGGACCCGAAAGAUGGUGAACUAUGCGUGGAUAGGGUGAAGCCAGAGGAAACUCUGGUGGAGGCUCGCAGCGGUUCUGACGUGCAAAUCGAUCGUCAAAUCUGCGCAU